rnacentral:rRNA from 1 species
CAGUCGCCGCGGUAAAACGGAGGGGGCUAGCGUUGUUCGGAAUUACUGGGCGUAAAGCGCACGUAGGCGGCUUUGUAAGUCAGAGGUGAAAGCCCGGGGCUCAACCCCGGAAUUGCCUUUGAGACUGCAUCGCUUGAAUCCAGGAGAGGUGAGUGGAAUUCCGAGUGUAGAGGUGAAAUUCGUAGAUAUUCGGAAGAACACCAGUGGCGAAGGCGGCUCACUGGACUGGUAUUGACGCUGAGGUGCGAAAGCGUGGGGAGCAAACAGGAUUAGAUACCCCUGUAGUCCCUGUCUCUUAUAC